AGUCCCUGCUCCAGGCUAUCCACUGUGAACUGCUGGCAGCUGCAGAAGAUCCUGAGUUCAAGCCUAGGGGCAGGAAAUUGUCAGAAACCCGUGUACCUUCCAAGGUUCAGCAGAUUGGAGAGAAAAGUGUGCGAGUGCUCGGCAAGAACAAUACACCGAUUAACAGGGCAAUUUCAGGACCGUGUUGGGGGCUGGGUGGAGGAGGAGAGAGAACCAGAUGUUCCUGCACAGGCUCCAAAGAACUGCGGGUUCGCCUGGGCCAACACACAUGUUUUCUCUCCAGUGAGUAUGAUGGGUUUCCAGUUUUCUCCUCCUGGAAGCGGCAUCUCAAGCCCGUAUUUAUGUUCCGUCUGAAAUUAAUGCAAGGGAAACUUUUAAAUGCGAAUCUCACUGGCAGGGCAGCCUACCGGAUAUCAAGCGAUGGUGGGGUUUGUUUUCCCAAGGAAAUGUGACAAGCGGGUUGGACGGUGGGCCAGCGGAGGACUGGACGAUUGGAGGCACCCAGGGCUCUGUUCUCCCAAGGAGUGAGUGUGUGAGGGGGAAGUAGCAAACCGGAGCCUCUGUCCUGUUCUCCCGCCGGCCUAGGGAAGAGUUGCAGCUUGUGAGCUCAGGAGGGCUGAGAUGACACCGCCUCUGUACCCAGCCACUGCCAGGAGCUGUGCAUCCCCCGAGGAGAUGACCGCGUGGAGGGGCACACCCGUGGAGGGGCAGACCCGCAAGCAGACCAUACGGGACAACGAAGUGCAGUGACGGAGAGGGGCCAGAACCAUGGGGCUGAAGAAAAUGCGGUGGAACCCAAGGGAGGAGAAGAGGCAACAGGAAACAGCCCAAGCCCAGAGCAGAGAGGCAGUGUGUUACUUGUAGAUCAGAAGAAAGCCAAGGACACCUCCCCACCCUCCAAUGGCUGAACUGGAAGGUCCUGUGGGGGAGGGGCUCAGGCUCAGCUUAUCCCAGCGCCUAGCCCAGUUGGGAAUGGGCCUCUCUCCCUGCAGGCCAGCACACCCUAUCCGUGGAGCCAACCUGUCCGUCCCAGAACACCUGGGCUAGCACACUGGCCACCGCCAACUUCUGGAGAAGGGGCUUCAUCUGAGCCCCAAGUGCCACUCUGGCCUGCCCUGAGUCUCACACUUUCCUCUCAACUGUCUCUGAACCUGCUGAGUCACCUGUGGGCACCGUCACAAGGCCACACUGCCCAUCACAGACACUAAGAAGAAUGCUUCUCUGUGAAAAGUGUCAGCUAAACAGACACCCCUUUGCACACAGCUCCAGCGUUUCCAGAUGUAGACAGCAAGGAUGCCAGGACUGGGAUCCGAGAGGCCAGGGUUCAAAUAAAAGUUCCGCCUGCAUUAUUCCCUCUCUACUCUGCACCUCAGCUUUCAUGUGGGAAAUGCGGAUACUGUAAUAAAACCACUCAGUGGUGUUGCUUGAGAGUCUGGAACAGUACUGAGGAAGGGUUUUAUUCUAAGAAUCACUGCGUCAUGAGGGGCAUUUUAACCCCAUGAUCGAAAAUGAGUGAGUCUAGCACAAUCCAGUGAGGCAGGUGCAUUAGCCCCAUUUUAUGGAUGACAGACUGAGGCCUUAAAGUGAAUAGCUUUCCUAGGUCCCCUGGCUGACAGCAGGAGUCUUGCUUUGCAUCCAGGCCUCUUACUCGAAGGCUCUUCCCCUCCUUCCUGAAGCCCUAGAGAAUAGCACUGGGAGGCCGGGCUGUACUCAGGACUGCAGCUUCCAGUCCGUUUUAUGAGGCUCUUGGGGAUUCUGGAGCUGGGGUGGGUUGGGGAGAGUCUGAAUAAGCCCUGGAAGAGCCAGGCAGCCGGGAGGCUCAGGGUUUCUCUUUGGCUUGCUGGGUGCCUGGGGGAAAUAUGAACUACAGUGCCUUCAGGGCUUCAGCUCAGCCCCAAAGCUGGGAUUGUGGAGAGAAGGCAGAACUGUGUAGGGUCUGCUCGGACACCUGCUGAGGUGCUGAGGUAGGGAUGUGGGUGUUGGGAGACUUGCGAGAUUGUUUCUGUUUCCUAAAACAUUCCCCGGAGAUACCCACGGAGUCUGAUUUGAGCACAGAGAGAGAGAGCAGACACACGCCUAGGGGCAGCUAGUGUCUUCCUAGUAGCGUAGACCCGCCCUCUCUUCCACAGCCUUGGGAGCGCUCUGCUGUCAGUCGAGCCAGCAGGAGAGGGGCCGCAGGAGGCCAGCUGAGCCCUCAGGGACUCUGCUCAGUAGUCCGGAAAGGCCCUGAGAUGGACUUGGAGAGGCACCAGACAGGAGGGCAAGGAAAGGAUAGGCUGACUGCAAGUGGUAGUACAUGGAGGGUGUGUGUGGCCUGGCCCUGCACCUAAAUCCUGCAGCCUGUCUUGGGGUGGGGGCUAGGGAGUGACAUGCCCUUUACUGUAUAACCAGGCAGGGUGGGCUCCUCUCACCCAGAUUUCGUGUGGACGUGUAUGUGCCAGGACCAGUGUACUGACUCUAACGGGCCUGCUCUGCUGGCUUGGUGCCCUGUUCAUGGUAACACAUGGUCCAGAGCCUGUGGGUUGGUCCUGGUUCUGUCUCCAGCUCAGCGAGCUUUGCUAUGCUCCUGCCCAGUGGGCCUCAGUUUGCCCAAAGCUAUAAGGAAGUGGGCAGGCUGGGAAGUCCCUGGGUUGGGAGAUUUGCUGCACAGAGUAGGCCAUUUGUUCCAGGUGUGGUUGAGCUAUGAAAUGCAGCAGCCACCAGCAGGCAGGAUCUGCAACGGGUCCAGAGCUGUCGCUUGUGGAUGGUGGGGUCCCUGAGGGCCAAGCUGGGCUUGCUCUGCCCUGACCUUACUGUUGCUCUAGCCUAAUAAGUGCACCAGGCCAGAGGAGGCCAGGACGGAGGCUGUGCUCAGCGUUCAUUCAUCUGUUCAUUCUCUCACUCCUUUACGCUUAUUCACUCACCAGGUCAAAACCUAGGGCACAGUUCUAAAGGCGGUGAUGAUUAAGCGGUGGCUGUCCUCCCACCACCCAAGGGGAGACAGCACCAUUUGCCAGCCCGUGUGGGAAGCAGUCUGGAGGCUGGAGCUGGUAGAGGCUUGGACCAGGACAGCAGCAGGGGGCAGAGACAGAGUGAAGGAUGCGUGGUCUUUCUGGUGGUCUAUCAGCAGGACCAAUCAGCGACUGACUGAAUUUUAGAGACAGAAGAGACUGGAGUUGGCCCUGGUGCUUUCAGGCUGGCCUGGUGCUUGAGCGGGCAUUUGUGCACAUGGACGUGGCAUUUCAGGAAAAAGAGGCCUGUGUUCAGGGCUGCCCACACUGCUGUGAUUUUCACUCUUACAGCCUCAGCUUCCUCGACUGUAGAAGGGAGCUGAUUCUAGGGACCUCUGGCCCAGGUGACUGUCCUGGGCCCUGGGGCAGGCAGGGUGGGGGCGGCAACUGCUUCUCUCCGUGGCUGUACUAACUGGGGGGCACCUCCCAGGCCUAGAAGGCUGACUCAGGUUGGCUCCCCUGGGAGGUCGGCUGAGGCUGUUCUACUGCAGAGUGAACUGGAGGAGGAGGGAGGGUUGGUGUUUGGGGGUCCUUCCUUGAACAGCUUUCCUGCCUCAUGCCAGGCCUCUGGCAGCUGUCCCACAGCAGGCGAGUGGCCCUACUCUCUCCAUGUUGUCAGUCAAGGUCCUGCUCCUGCCGGCUCUUCCAGACCCCCGCUUCUCUGACACCUGCAUGUGAACAGCUCCUGGAAUCCUAGAAGACCCAAGCAAGUCCUAGCUCUUCCUGCUCCCAUGAGCAAACUGAAGCUGUGAAAGAAGAAGGGACUUGGCAGGGGCCACAGUGGGCCACGGAGAGCUCCAGUGUGAGCCUAGAACUGUUUUUCUUUCUGUCCCUCUGAGGUGACCUUGACCAGGCUGUACCCAUGGGCUUGUAUCAUGUUGGAGCCCCUCCAUGUGCCUCUACUGCAAGACAGGAGCAUCUCAGCCUUGCAGCCUGGAUGGCAGGUCCAGGUGCACCAGCACCAUCUCCUCGAAAACACGCACGGGGCCGCCGAAGAAACCACGGCAGUGAGAACGCAUCCUCUCUUUCCUCACAGCCUAUCAGCGUCAUUACGACUUUCAGCAAAGGCCGAACCCAUGGGACCGAAGAGGCUGAGACAUCUGCUGUGCGCUGGCCAAGGAUCAGUGGGUUUCUGAUAAGAAGUGCACCUUGGGCUUCUGUUAGAAAAGUGGGGCUCACUGUCUGGAUGAACGAGACAAUAAUUUGACUGGUGUCUCCUGAGCUUGUGUAGUGUACACCUUGCAGAGCUGUAUGUAGUGGCACCGCUAGUUCCCGAUGGACCAAGAGAGAGCUGGUGCCCGGGGACUUUUUGUUCGGUAGAUAGAUAAAUGAAAGCAAUGGUGCCAUUACCACCCUUGUCACUUCCCUACUAAGGAAGAGGUGACAGGCAACCCUGACAAAACAGGUCACACUUGACUUGAUCCAGCUAUAGAAAUCACCAAAGCUGCUGCGUUGGGGAGGAAACAGAGAGGCCGUGACUCUGACAGUUAUUAGUAGAAACAUGCCUCUUGAAGGUCUCUCUCCAUUCCUUGGUAUGGGUGACAAUUUGAGGCUGUGUUAUACCGCAAAGAAGUAUCUGUUCAGUGAAUGAGUGGCUGAGUGAAUGCCCUGAGAGGCAGUAGAAGCGGAGGGAUUCCGCAGGUCCCACAAGUUCGACGGUAGGGAUGACUUAGGUUGAAAUCCCUCUUUUGCUGCUUACUAGCUGGGUGGCCUUACUAGAAAGUAAUUUGGCUUUUCUGAGACUCAGUUUUCAAAUUGGUAAUAUAAGGUAAUUGGUAAUAUAUUGUAGGGGUAAAGGAGUUUUUUUUUUUCCUAAUCGCCCAAGUUGGGCUCAAAUU